GUAUGUUCUGAAUCAGAGGCCAC
rnacentral:piRNA from 1 species